rnacentral:rRNA from 1 species
UUAAGCGACUAAGCGUACACGGUGGAUGCCCUGGCAGUCAGAGGCGAUGAAGGACGUGCUAAUCUGCGAUAAGCGUCGGUAAGGUGAUAUGAACCGUUAUAACCGGCGAUUUCCGAAUGGGGAAACCCAGUGUGAUUCGUCACACUAUCAUUAACUGAAUCCAUAGGUUAAUGAGGCGAACCGGGGGAACUGAAACAUCUAAGUACCCCGAGGAAAAGAAAUCAACCGAGAUUCCCCCAGUAGCGGCGAGCGAACGGGGAGCAGCCCAGAGCCUGAAUCAGUGUGUGUGUUAGUGGAAGCGUCUGGAAAGGCGCGCGAUACAGGGUGACAGCCCCGUACACAAAAAUGCACAUACUGUGAGCUCGAUGAGUAGGGCGGGACACGUGGUAUCCUGUCUGAAUAUGGGGGGACCAUCCUCCAAGGCUAAAUACUCCUGACUGACCGAUAGUGAACCAGUACCGUGAGGGAAAGGCGAAAAGAACCCGGCGAGGGGAGUGAAAAAGAACCUGAAACCGUGUACGUACAAGCAGUGGGAGCACAGAGCAAUCUGUGUGACUGCGUACCUUUUGUAUAAUGGGUCAGCGACUUAUAUUCUGUAGCAAGGUUAACCGAAUAGGGGAGCCGAAGGGAAACCGAGUCUUAACUGGGCGUUAAGUUGCAGGGUAUAGACCCGAAACCCGGUGAUCUAGCCAUGGGCAGGUUGAAGGUUGGGUAACACUAACUGGAGGACCGAACCGACUAAUGUUGAAAAAUUAGCGGAUGACUUGUGGCUGGGGGUGAAAGGCCAAUCAAACCGGGAGAUAGCUGGUUCUCCCCGAAAGCUAUUUAGGUAGCGCCUCGUGAAUUCAUCUCCGGGGGUAGAGCACUGUUUCGGCAAGGGGGUCAUCCCGACUUACCAACCCGAUGCAAACUGCGAAUACCGGAGAAUGUUAUCACGGGAGACACACGGCGGGUGCUAACGUCCGUCGUGAAGAGGGAAACAACCCAGACCGCCAGCUAAGGUCCCAAAGUCAUGGUUAAGUGGGAAACGAUGUGGGAAGGCCCAGACAGCCAGGAUGUUGGCUUAGAAGCAGCCAUCAUUUAAAGAAAGCGUAAUAGCUCACUGGUCGAGUCGGCCUGCGCGGAAGAUGUAACGGGGCUAAACCAUGCACCGAAGCUGCGGCAGCGACGCUGAUGCGUUGUUGGGUAGGGGAGCGUUCUGUAAGCCUGUGAAGGUGUGCUGUGAGGCAUGCUGGAGGUAUCAGAAGUGCGAAUGCUGACAUAAGUAACGAUAAAGCGGGUGAAAAGCCCGCUCGCCGGAAGACCAAGGGUUCCUGUCCAACGUUAAUCGGGGCAGGGUGAGUCGACCCCUAAGGCGAGGCCGAAAGGCGUAGUCGAUGGGAAACAGGUUAAUAUUCCUGUACUUGGUGUUACUGCGAAGGGGGGACGGAGAAGGCUAUGUUGGCCGGGCGACGGUUGUCCCGGUUUAAGCGUGUAGGCUGGUUUUCCAGGCAAAUCCGGAAAAUCAAGGCUGAGGCGUGAUGACGAGGCACUACGGUGCUGAAGCAACAAAUGCCCUGCUUCCAGGAAAAGCCUCUAAGCAUCAGGUAACAUCAAAUCGUACCCCAAACCGACACAGGUGGUCAGGUAGAGAAUACCAAGGCGCUUGAGAGAACUCGGGUGAAGGAACUAGGCAAAAUGGUGCCGUAACUUCGGGAGAAGGCACGCUGAUAUGUAGGUGAAGUCCCUCGCGGAUGGAGCUGAAAUCAGUCGAAGAUACCAGCUGGCUGCAACUGUUUAUUAAAAACACAGCACUGUGCAAACACGAAAGUGGACGUAUACGGUGUGACGCCUGCCCGGUGCCGGAAGGUUAAUUGAUGGGGUCAGCGCAAGCGAAGCUCUUGAUCGAAGCCCCGGUAAACGGCGGCCGUAACUAUAACGGUCCUAAGGUAGCGAAAUUCCUUGUCGGGUAAGUUCCGACCUGCACGAAUGGCGUAAUGAUGGCCAGGCUGUCUCCACCCGAGACUCAGUGAAAUUGAACUCGCUGUGAAGAUGCAGUGUACCCGCGGCAAGACGGAAAGACCCCGUGAACCUUUACUAUAGCUUGACACUGAACAUUGAGCCUUGAUGUGUAGGAUAGGUGGGAGGCUUUGAAGUGUGGACGCCAGUCUGCAUGGAGCCGACCUUGAAAUACCACCCUUUAAUGUUUGAUGUUCUAACGUUGACCCGUAAUCCGGGUUGCGGACAGUGUCUGGUGGGUAGUUUGACUGGGGCGGUCUCCUCCUAAAGAGUAACGGAGGAGCACGAAGGUUGGCUAAUCCUGGUCGGACAUCAGGAGGUUAGUGCAAUGGCAUAAGCCAGCUUGACUGCGAGCGUGACGGCGCGAGCAGGUGCGAAAGCAGGUCAUAGUGAUCCGGUGGUUCUGAAUGGAAGGGCCAUCGCUCAACGGAUAAAAGGUACUCCGGGGAUAACAGGCUGAUACCGCCCAAGAGUUCAUAUCGACGGCGGUGUUUGGCACCUCGAUGUCGGCUCAUCACAUCCUGGGGCUGAAGUAGGUCCCAAGGGUAUGGCUGUUCGCCAUUUAAAGUGGUACGCGAGCUGGGUUUAGAACGUCGUGAGACAGUUCGGUCCCUAUCUGCCGUGGGCGCUGGAGAACUGAGGGGGGCUGCUCCUAGUACGAGAGGACCGGAGUGGACGCAUCACUGGUGUUCGGGUUGUCAUGCCAAUGGCACUGCCCGGUAGCUAAAUGCGGAAGAGAUAAGUGCUGAAAGCAUCUAAGCACGAAACUUGCCCCGAGAUGAGUUCUCCCUGACCCUUUAAGGGUCCUGAAGGAACGUUGAAGACGACGACGUUGAUAGGCCGGGUGUGUAAGCGCAGCGAUGCGUUGAGCUAACCGGUACUAAUGAACCGUGAGGCUUAACCU